AGAUCUCGUGCCAGUCAACUGGCUGCUCUUAGGCUCUUCAUUUGUAAAGUAGAACCAUAAACAUGCCUUUAUAGGCCUAUUGCAAAAGUCAUUUUAGCCAGUAUGUACUAUUUUACAGGUCUUAGAAAAGGGAUGGACAAGGUGAGCGAUGACAGCAGGGACAUUGCCUAGAGGUAUUGUCACAGCACUGCACUCCCCAGGUCUUAGAAAAGGAAUGAAUGAGAUAAGCAAUGACAGCAAGAACAGCCGCGAGCAGGAAGGAGCAUUUCAGCACUAUUCUCCUCAACUGACUAGCCACGCUUUUCUCUCCAACACACAGACUGCAGUAUUUUCCUUCAGUGUUUCUCACUGUAUUUACUUACUCUAAGCCAGGCAUUCAUUCCUGUGUUCUUAUUAAUAACUUUAAUAUGUACUAUUGAAAACAUCCAUUGGAACAAUUCCAUAAAAAAUCUUUUCCAACAUCAACAAUAGGUUUAAAAGAUAACCUGCUACUUAUGACAUUUAUUUUUAAAGAGAAUUGUGCUCUUUUGGUUCAUUUGUUUAUUUUAUUUUUGUUUUCAGAAAAGUAAAUCACACAGAAUUUGUGAGAAUAGUAGUAAAUGUUUUAACUAUUUUAUCAUCUUCAGUGUCAUUCAACAGUUGAUUCAUAUGUAACUGGCAUUAUUUUAAGAGCUGUGGUGGAUUCCAGAGAAAGAGGAGUUACCACCACUGCCCUCAAAGUAAGUCUAAGUGGGGAAGUAGAAACUGCAAAGACAGCACUGCUGCGAAGGGCAGUUGUUAGGACAAGAAGUGAUGUCAAGAAAGGACCCAUAGCAGACUGAAAGGAGAAGACCCAGCAAAGCAUGCGGGGUUAACAACGUCAGAGCACAGUUGGGUGAGAGUGAGGGAGGUUGUAUCAGUAAAGAUUGGGGAGGUGGAACAACUUGGAAUAAUAACCAAACUCAGAAUGUAUACAGCGUUACAAAAACAUUUUCCAAACAGCAAACUGAAGUGCCGAGAGUUCACAGAGAUGGAGCCAGGACUGAAGAAGAGACCUCUUAAACGUCUCUCACACCACACACAACGCCUGCAUCCCUCAGCCUUUGGCAUGUGCUGUUCUAAUGACUUUUUUUCAGUGUUCCACAAAAUAACCUUAAAAAUCAAGUUUUUUCAUCCUCUUCCCUGUGUUUUGAAGAGUGACAAAAUG